GCUGGGCACGUCCAAGCAGGGAGGCUGAUAAGUAGGCAAAUCCGCUUAUCGUGAAGGCGGAGCGGGGAGGGGGAAGCUCCUUAUGGAGCGAAGUCUUUGAUGCCCCGCUGCCAAGAAAAGCUUCUAGCGAGAUAAACGGUGCCGGUACCGCAAACCGACACAGGUAGGCGAGGAGAGAAGCCGAAGGGGUGCGAGAGAACUCUGGGUAAGGAACUCGGCAAAAUGACCC
rnacentral:rRNA from 1 species